CCAGCAGCUGCGGUAAUUCCAGCUCCAAUAGCGUAUACUAACGUUGUUGCACUUAAAAAGCUCGUAGUCCGACUUCCGAGAGCGCGAGCGUCCGUGGCGCCGGCGCGCCCGCCUCUGUGCGGCCGCCGAUCCCGCCCGCGUCUCGCCUCUCCUCGACCCCUGCCUGGUUCACGGCCCCGCUGCGCCCUCGCGGUGCAGCGCGUUUGGUCGUCAGGCAUGUUCCUGUGAGCAAAUCAGAGUGUUCCAAGCAGGCUCAACGCCUUGCAUGGUCUAGCAUGGAAUAACCGAGCGGGACUCCGCGCUUCGCUGCGUUGGUUCGAGUGAGCCGGAGGACAUGGUUAAUAGGGAUAGUUGGGGGCAUUCGUAUUCCGGUGUCAGAGGUGAAAUUCUAGGAUUACCGGAAGACGAACGAAUGCGAAAGCAUUUGCCAAGGAUAUUCCCAUUGAUCAAGAACGAAAGU
rnacentral:rRNA from 1 species